UACGGAAGGCAGCAGGGGGAAUAUUGCACAAUGGGCGAAAGCCUGAUGCAGCUAUGCCGCGUGUAUGAAGAAGGCCUUAGGGUUGUAAAGUACUUUCAUCGGGGAGGAAAAACAAAACUAAUAAUUUUAUUUCUUGACGUUACCCGAAAAAGAAGCACCGGCUAACUCCGUGCCAGCAGCCGCGGUAAUACGGAGGGUGCUAGCGUUAAUCAGAAUUACUGGGCGUAAAGAGCACGUAGGUGGUUUUUUAAGUCAGAUGUGAAAUCCCUGGGCUUAACCUAGGAACUGCAUUUUGAAACUGAAAUACUAGAGUAUCGUAGAGGGAGGUAGAAUUCUAGGUGUAGCGGUGAAAUGCGUAGAUAUCUGGAGGAAUACCUGUGGCGAAAGCGGCCUCCUAAACGAAUACUGACACUGAGGGUGCGAAAGCGUGGGGAGCAAACAGGGAUUAGAUACC
rnacentral:rRNA from 1 species